UUCGCAAUGCCCGAAAGGGUGACGAAGCGACGCCGCGUGUGGGAAGAAGGCCUUCGGGUUGUAAACCGCUGUCGGGAGUUAGGAAGUGCAAGGAUGUUAAUAGCGUCUUUGCUUGACUAAGGCUCCGGAGGAAGCCACGGCUAACUCUGUGCCAGCAGCCGCGGUAAUACAGAGGCGGCAAGCGUUGUUCGGAAUUAUUGGGCGUAAAGAGCACGUAGGCGGCCGCGUAAGUCGGUUGUGAAAGCCUUCCGCUCAACGGGAGAACGGCAUCCGAUACUGCAUGGCUCGAGUGCGGGAGGGGAGAGUGGAACUUCUGGUGGAGCGGUGAAAUGCGUAGAUAUCAGAAGGAACGCCGGCGGCGAAAGCGGCUCUCUGGCCCGUAACUGACGCUGAGUGUGCGAAAGCUAGGGGAGCAAACGGGAUUAGAUACCCCGGUAGUCCUAGCCGUAAACGAUGGGCACUAAGUAGAGGGGUUUU
rnacentral:rRNA from 1 species